UCAGCUUUAAUAAACAAGAACAAAUUGAUCUUUUCUCAAAAUAACAUUUAUUAAAGGCACAAUAACAAAUUAUCUAUAACCACUUGCAGGAUUAUUAUAAAACAACUGCUUGAAACAAACGUCCACAUCAAAAAAAAGAAAGGUGCACAAACUUCUGAAUGAUUAUAUAUUAGCAUCAAAGUUAAAAGGAAUUUGUGCUGAAGCUUUUUUUCCACACUGAAAAAGGAGAAAGCUCAAAGCUCGGUUCAGCGGGAAGAAAUCAUACACGUUGUGCUGCAGUUGGUUAAAGACGUGAAGCUCAAGAGCGCUGUAAUCGUUGGGGCGUGUCUCGUCCAGGUGGAGGAAGAAAAACAGAAUUGGACCUCUUCUCACAAAAAUCUUGGAGAACUUCUUUGGAUAAUCUACAAAACGUACAGUGCAAUUCUGCAAAAUGUGAAUUUCAUCAGAAAUACCGUACCGUGUAAGGCGAAUCGACGAACCCGUGGUGGAUCAUGGUGAUGAAGCAAUGGUACACCGUCCUACAGUGGCGACCGUCGUCCUCCUUCAGGAAUGUUUCCCUGAAGAAGGCGAAGGAAAUCAGCGAGUAACAAAAGAACACCGCCAGACCAAGUAAGGCCACCAUCAGCAGUGACUUUCCUGUGUGAGGAAUAAAUCAGUAUCUAAGUCAAUGUAAUGUCAUAAGUUUGUAUAAGUUGUCAUACAACAGUAAAUAAUUACAGUUUAAAAGAGUAGAAUGCAUUAGCUAUAUAUAUAAAUAUCCCUAUGAUCAUUUGAGACCUUCAAAUUUUUAAGUGCUAAUGAGAAUUUGUAAA
rnacentral:sRNA from 1 species